CCCUUAGAUGUUCUGGGCCGCACGCGCGCUACACUGACGAAUGCAACGAGCGUAUAACCUUGGCCGAAAGGUCUGGGUAAUCUCCAAAUUUCGUCGUGAUGGGGAUAGAUUAUUGCAAUUAUUAAUCUUCAACGAGGAAUGCCUAGUAAGCGCAAGUCAUCAGCUUGCGUUGAUUACGUCCCUGCCCUUUGUACACACCGCCCGUCGCUCCUACCGAUUGAAUGGUCCGGUGAAGCGUUCGGACCGUGGCCUUUGGACGGUUCGCCGUCUGUUGGCUGCGGGAAGUUCGUUAAACCUUAUCAUUUAGAGGAAGGAGAAGUCGUAACA
rnacentral:rRNA from 1 species